rnacentral:rRNA from 1 species
GAUGAACGCUAGCUACAGGCUUAACACAUGCAAGUCGAGGGGCAGCGGUAUCGAAAGCUUGCUUUCGGUAGCCGGCGACCGGCGCACGGGUGAUUAACGCGUAUCCAACCUGCCUCAUACUCGUGUAUAGCCUUGCGAAAGUAAGAUGAAUGCCCGGUGUGUUCAGAGUCCCGCAUGAGGCUUUUAACAAAGAUGUAUCGGUAUGAGAGGGCGAUGCGUCUCAUUAGCGUGUUGUCGGGGUAACGGCCCACCAAGGCAUCGAUGGGUAGGGGUUCUGAGAGGAAGGUCCCCCACAUUGGAACUGAGACACGGUCCAAACUCCUACGGGAGGCAGCAGUGAGGAAUAUUGGUCAAUGGGCGGAAGCCUGAACCAGCCAAGUAGCGUGCAGGAAGACGGCCCUCCGGGUUGUAAACUGCUUUUAGUUGGGAAUAAAACGGGGCUCGUGAGCCCCCUUGCAUGUACCAUCAGAAAAAGGACCGGCUAAUUCCGUG